AUGGCUGGGCGAGCGGCACCGCCCUGUUCGCCGGACCCUCCUGCUGGCGACGAUCAUCAACCAGGUGCGUCUCUACCGUUCCCUGCCCUGCCCUCCCCGCUGUGCAAAACCGAGCACCCAAACCCUAAUUCAAGCUAUUUUGUACUUCGAUUUUCUGCAAAAAAAAAAAUUCAGGUGGCCUUAAUGCCCCCCGGCGUGUAUCAGGAGAUGGCGCGCAUCAACGCCGACGCCAUCAAGGGGCUCGAGCCCAAGAUCAGCGUGUGGAGCAAUGGUUGUGCUUCCGAGGGUGGUGACGGCGCGAUGAAGGAGAUGGCCGGGGUGUACAAGAAGUUGCCGCCGUUGCUAACGACGGUGCACGAGCAGACUGGGAUGCUAUCGCCGGCGUGGAUGGGCACUCUCAAGGGGGGCAUCUCCACGUCCACCUGA
rnacentral:rRNA from 1 species